GUCAGAAGGAACAAAGAAAAUGGGCUGCUGACAAGACUGCUGCAGUGACAAGAGGCUGCAGCAAAUAGGUCAGAGCAAUUAUCUCUCAACUUUCAAUCUCCUAUCAGUUUAGGACUUUAGGUGAAGACAUGGUGAUGAAAAUAUCUUUGUCCACCUCAGCAACACGCUGUGAGAGGCAGCUUAUGGAAUAAGAUACUGAAA
rnacentral:lncRNA from 1 species